rnacentral:lncRNA from 1 species
UGACCUCAUAGGUCCGAACCUAAGUCGGUAGCAUAGGAAUAAAUUUCUGUACCAAUCGAAGUGACCAUCUAACAAUGGUACCCGACGAUCGGAUAGGUCGAAUGUGUAGAACAACAUCCUUAGAACCCAUGCGGAUAUAGUUUUCAUAUAAUUCAUCUCCUUGACCAAAAUGAUCAUAGGACACCCCAGAGUUCAACUGUCAACUCUGAUCAGGUUGUCCACAUUGUAUUUCAAAAUAUCAAAUCCAUCUGAUGGAUUACCCUAGCCA